rnacentral:misc_RNA from 1 species
AGAGUGAUAAGAGAGCAUUACGCCCGAGGUAAGCCGGUGCGCAGCAUGGGAGUACCCAGCGCUGGCACCGGCACCAGCCAGACACGCGGUUCAGUCUCUGCGGGUCCUCCAUGCUGGCCGUACCUCCGUCGCUCCGCCGCCCGCGCGCUCUGUCACUGCGAUACGGUGAUCGUCUGUGCUCUAACGUGUUCUCAGAAAAGCUAGACAUGUACUGAAACUGUAUAUGCACAUGGCAUAUAUAAAAUCAAAGUCAAACAUGUACUGUUUGUAUAUGGUUUUCAACAUACAUUUAUAUGCAUAUACUUAUUCAUUUGUAUAUAUAUAUAAAUAUGUACAUUGAUACGUGGUAUACAUAUAUUCAAACAUGUUGACCAUCUAUAUAAUUAACAUGUCUGGUUAUUUCCUUCAGUUUUAUUAAUAUCAAUACAUGAUAACUGUGAAGUAUUGUGCGAGAAUCUGAAAUAUAGAACUGAUGUCAUCUCCGGGUAGUGUGUCUGUGUUUUCUGUGUAACAACUUUGUCUUGUUACUGAACAGGAAGAUUGGAAUAACAAUGUGUUCGUGAAGACAGCAGUUGUUAGUCUUCCGAAAUCAGAUAUUGUUUAGACGACCUCUGAUACUGACAAAUCUGCAAAAAUUAACUUCUGUCAUGUGAUGAACUGUGUAGUGGUUUGUCAGGCAUCAUCCAGUAAUUUCUAUUCUUGAAUCAUAGUAUGCUAUAUCAAAGAAACAAUACGAAAUGUAAAUGUAAGCGAUAAAACCGAUACCCGUGUAUAACCCGUACCCAAGAAGCACAGGGGAACGAGACACAGAAAGGCAGAUGAAGCAAUGAAGGAAAGCGAGUGAGGCGAAAACAUGGUCGGCCUGGUGAUUAGGAGUGUCACGGAUUCCUCCAACUCCGCCACAAUGCGGAUGCCUCGGAAAGGAGCGAAUGCCCUCGCGAGAGAGGCAUGCCGGCGGAGGAGCGCGGGCGGCCGGGCGGACGGGCGGGCGAACGGGCGGGCGGGCGCUCAUGGAUCCGCGUGCGUGACCGCUUCAGCAACACCUCGUGGCGCGCGCGCGAGCGUGGACGGCAUGAGCUCAUCCCGCCUCAAGCUCCGUGACCCCCACGAGCUGCUGGCCAAGCCCCCGGACUCCAAUGCGUCUGUGCAUGCGAUGGCAGACGCUACAACUACAACUCCUACCAGUCCUACGACAACUUCCGCAGCUGCUGACCGGCAGUCUGGAGUUCAGUCUACAGUCGCUCAGGCAGCGUCAGCGCACCCGCCAGCAACAGAGCUGCAAUCAACACAGACCGCUACCAAGGCGCCUGUUCCCCCUCAGUCACCCCAGGCAGUCCCCAAGUCACAGCGGGAAGCCCCUUCAAGCACUGCCAGUGAACGCAGGGACACUGAGCCCGUGUCCAAGAAGCGGCGCUUGUUGGAAGCCACGGAGGCCGCAGACGUGCAUGAAGCAGUGCCAUCUACCAAGUCGUUGAGUGACUCGCAAGACAUAUUGGCAAAGGCGUGUUUCGCCGUAGGGAUCGACUCAGACCUCGCUGAGAGCGUGGUGGAGGAGCCACUACCGCCACCUCAGCAAGGCUCCCAGUUGCCACCUCAGGCGCACACAGAGGCCGUCCACUACGUGCAGGAACUCCGCCCACCUUACACUGGUGUGCCUGCUGACGUGCGGUUGAGGCAGCCAGAGGUAAGAAUUCAUCCAGGUAUGCACCAUCCAACCUCCAUCAAUGGAUCCUACCCGAUAGCAGAAGCUCGCGUUCAGUACCAUCAGUUCCCUCCGCGCUUCCACGAUCCCCAUUUCCCUCUCCCUCGCCGGGUCCCCGUGCAUGCAGAUCCGCGGCACUGCCACCCGGGCCCGCCACAUCCGAGGUACCAGUACGUCGCUUACCCGAGAUCCGUGCCGGGCCCUGUGCCCAGAGCCAUACUGGUGUCUGAGCGAGUCCCUCCCUCACAUCAUCCUGCCAUGCAUCAUGAUCCGCGCCACCCCCACCCUUCAGCCAUGCAGCAUGACCCCCGUUUGCCGCAGCCCGCUGUCAUUCAUCAUGACCUGCGGCACCCUUCUUCCCCUGCACUGCAACAUGACCCGAGGCUCCCUCCACCAGAGUACCGUCAUGCACAGCGUGUGGUCCCCGAGGUAAGACACAUCGCACCCGGACAACCCGAGGUGCGGUACAGAAUGCCCAUCAACCAUCACGAGGUUGCCAUAGUGGCGCCGGUGGGUCCUACCUCCUUUGUGCCUGCAGAUAACAGCCGUCCUGGACCUCCGCAAUCCAAACUAGAGCGGCAGCCCCACACCGAGCAGCGCCCACGCCCGUAUGAGAUGUACACCUCUCCCCCGGGAUCAGCACACUCCCCAAAGGAUGGUCCAUACGCCCCUGUCAGUCCUCACGCCUUUCCAGGGAAUCACCACUAUGGACCUCCUCGUGUGGUCGAUAGGUACAACAAACACCCUUAUGGUCGCGCUGAGAUAAACCGAGACUCUGGUCUGUGGCAUGACCAGGCGACUCCUCCCCCCAACGCUCCACCUCAGCAUUCACCGGAAGGCCGAGCACGGCCGCUAGAGCCGGUGCGCUCGCCCUACGCAAGCCCUCAAGAAAAUGCAUGGGCUGCGAAACGAUAUCCCGAAAGUCAAGAUAAAGAGUUUAUACCACCACAAAGACUGAGGGAACCUAAACCAUGUGUUGAACUCAUCCCUCUAAGACAUUCAGUCAAUCAAGAGAAAGACAAGAAAAAUGGAGGUGAAGUAAUUCCUGUUCCUUCCAGUCCAGGUCCUCCUCAAAAGCACCAGGCGGCGGCAGCGACCAUAAGCCCUGCCACGGUCACUCCUGUCAAUCGCAAGACAUCUGAACAGGAGGCUCCAGCGGAAAAAUAUGCUCGAAUUAAUGCUUCUGACAACAACGAAAUUCCAGAAACUUCUCGGUCCAACGUUGAAUACCAGCGUCGACCAAGUCUUUCUGUCACAGAAGCAGGAGCAUCAUCUCCAACAAAUCAAGAUUCAGCUGUGAAACGAGAUAACUUUAAAGAUGCUUUUGUGUAUCCUGAAAAAUCUGAUGAGUCUGUUAAACGAUUAGCGUGUGAUUUAGAUAAAGCUGAACCCACACAGACUGGUGUUGAACUGAGAAAAAAAUCUGAAGAUUCAACGGAAAUGAACAGCAAACAGCCAGGGUUCCAAGAACACUGCAUGCAAAGUACGCCAAAGUCUGCUGCAGUAAUGGAAAUAAGCACCACUAAAACCGAACCAUUCGACAGCUUUGGUACUUCAAAAAGACACCAAGAAAAUGGUGACCCUAUUUCUUCAAAGAAGGAAGGCCAAUCUGAAGGUUCAACUAGUGAUCCGCACGUUUUGGGGCAAUUUUAUAACCGUCACAGCUCCGGCUACGUGAGUCAAGGUAGAUCGGCUUCGGAGCCUCCUCCCGGAGCAGUCGGUCCCUCAACAACUCUCAUUUCAAGCAUGAGACCAGCGUCGCUCCCCGCACCCACUCCCGCCACCCAAAUGUCUGUCUCAAACCACCCUCUGAAUAGGGAUUCUACAAAUCCAGACAACAUGAAGGUGAAUGGGAAACCGAAUACAGUGACGAAAGAUAAUCAAGAUAAUGACGAAGUGUUCAUUGAGCGACUGAGGUUCGUGCUAGAUGACCUUGUAUCUGUGCCCGAAGCCACACUGCCGAAGGCGUCCCAUUCCCCGCAGCAGGUUUUGGCCUACCUGGUGCGGCAAGGCGGCGGCCAGCCAUCGGCACACCCGUGUCUGCGAGAAAGACUUCGAGAAGACUUUCUGACGAUGGUUAAGCGGUACAUGCCAGGUAGUACCCUAGCGGACUGGGGCUGGGAUUCCUGCACGCCCGAACAGAUCCUGGACCAACUCAUCAAAGUGUCCACCGGCAGUGACGAAGGGAUCAACGGCAGCGAGCGAUCGCCCAGCACCGCCUCAGUCAUACAAGACGACGCUCUGGAUGACGACGUCUUCACUCCUACUAGUGACACUCACCAUGGCCCAAAGACUUUACCCGCUGUCCAUUCUCAUCCUCCCUCCUCCCUUCCUAUUCCCACUUCCCUCACAUCGGUGCCACACAGCACUAGUCCUCCCACCUCAACGCCAUGCACAGUCGCAGCAGAAACUCGGAAACCACAGGAAGAAAUACCUCAAAAUACUGGGCAAUGUUCUCCCGUUUCCCAAAGCUCAGUCCCUCAGACUCCACCUCCAAUCACUUCGCCGUUGGGUGCACCUACAUCCCAUGCAUAUAAUGCCAGUUCUGGAUUGCCACAUACCUCUACUACCCAGACUAGUCCACAGCAUCCUACAACCCAUGCGGUGUUUUCGCAUGCAAUUACCGCCGAUACGAAAACUCAGCAUGUAUCUACUCCUCGCACAAUAACUCAGCAUACAUACCCAGUCUACACAACAGCCGCACAAGUUCCUACCAAUUCCCCAGCAAAUCCAUAUACUCUUAAUGCAGACACAACAGUUCGGCGUGCAUCUACCACCCUGACAAAUAUUGCACACGUAAAUUCCAGCGAAGCGAGGGUUAUAAACGUAUCUUCAACUUACACAACAGCUCCGCCUGCAAAUUCUAAUGCACCAUCAGCACAUUAUACCCAAGCAAACGUUGCACAGGCAUUGACUACGUAUACAACAAUUCCACAUACGCUUCCCAGCUCAACGCAGGUCUUACACUCGUCUGCCAUCCACGCGCCGGUUCAGCACACCCAUCAUCAAGGCGGAGCCCCUGCGACGCCCUCGCCAGGUCAUCCUGACGCCAAAUUUCGACAACCAGCUUCUCGCACCGCCCUUCCUGAGCCUGUCUCCUCUGUUCCUCAUUCUGCCCCUUCAGUCCCUCACACUAUUUCUCCGGUCCCUCACUCUAUCACUUCAGUCCCUCAUUCUGCCUCUUCAGCCCCUCACUCUGUCCAUUCUGUCCCUCAUUCUACCCCUCCAGUCCCUCACUCUGUCUCUGCAGUCCCUCAUUCUGUCCCUCAUUCUACCCCUUCAGUCCCUCACUCUGUCUCUUCAGUCUCUCAUUCUGCUUCUUCAGCCCCUCACUCUGUCCCUUCAGUCCCUCAUUCUGUCUAUUCUGUCCCUCAUUCUGCCUCAUCAGUCCCUCACCCUGUCUCUUCAGUCCCUCACUCUAUUCCUUCAGUUCCUCAUUCUGCCCCUUCAAUCUCUCAUCAUAUCCCUUCGGUCCCCUCGGCCUCUCAUUCUGUUCCUUCAGUCUCUCUAUCUGUUCCCCCAGCCCAUCGUUCUAACCCCUCAGUCUCUCAUUCUGCUCCCCAAGUCCCUCAUUCUGUCUCUUCGGCCCACCAUCCUCCAGUCCCUCAUUCUGUCUCCUCGGCCCAUCGUCCUCCAGACCCUCAUUCUGUCUCUUCGGCCCAUCACCCGUCAGUCCCUCAUUCUGUCUCCUCGGCCCAUCGUCCUCCAGACCCUCAUUCUGUCUCCUCGGCCCACCAUCCUUCAGCCCCUCAUUCUGUCGCCUCGGCCCAUCGUCCUCCUGGCCCUCAUUCUGCCCCGUCGAGCGACCCGCACUUCGCCUCCCGAGAACGCAUACCCUCUCACGGUGGCCACGCAUCAAUGGCCCUAUUGUCGUCCCGAAGCGCCCCGUACCCCCCUGGCGCCGCCCACCCGCCCCCGAUCCGGCACUCCGGCCACCCACACCUAGCUGCGGUCCCGCCCUAUCAAACUUACAACCACCACGCACCUGUUCAUCCGACGGCGGGUAGUCGCGUCUCCCAUCCCGGCGCCCACUCCACCGGCGUCCACCCGCCGCCCGUCCUCAUCCCAGCCGCCCAGAACGCCCACUACCCCCGCCAGCCUCACCACCUCGCCUACCACCAAGCCCAGCACCACAUCCCAUCCCAUUAUCAGUACUCUCAGCACCAGUACGCCCAACAGCAGAUGCAUUCCACAAAGAAGUGGACGGGUUAGUGGUGCGAGUGUCGACAGUGUGGUGAGGUCGGCUGUGUAUGCCGCCCUCAACGCCCACGCCCCGCCGACCUGAGAGGAUAAGCAAGAAAAGUCCAGCAUCACCUCUAGUCUCAUCUCCAGGAGUACAGGAACUUGAUCCCACAAAGCCUUACGAGUCGUCAGUGUCGCCGAGGGAGACUUAAAUCCACUAGGACAGUUCCUCUGAAACCGUAUCGUUUGUUGAAAACUAUGGGAGAUUAAAACAAACAAAAUUAAUUUCGCAGUUAUGGGUUAAUCUUCCUACAAACUUUUUUUUGGAAAAAAAAAGUAAAGCACUUCAUGGAAAAGUCAGAAGAUUUUUGCUCAGAAUAGGUCCAGAAAGGGACGGAAAUGUUGAAAAUUCCCAGAAAGUGAUGAUAAAUGUUGAAAAUUAUCAAAAAGGGACGGAAAUGUUGAAAAUUCCCAGAAAGUGAUGAUAAUUGUUGAAAAUUAUCA